rnacentral:misc_RNA from 1 species
CAACCCUCAGGCUCCGCCUGGCGUUGGGGACCUGCACCUGCAGCCCCCGAAAGACAGCGGCGGUCCCGUCGCGGCACCGAGCGUAGUAAUAACCUCGCUACGGGCGUCCGCGCGGUGGCCUGCCGGAAAACCCCAUCUUUUCGU